AUUGAACGCUGGCGGCAUGCCUUACACAUGCAAGUCGAACGGUAACAGGUCUUCGGAUGCUGACGAGUGGCGAACGGGUGAGUAACACAUCGGAACGUGCCUAGUAGUGGGGGAUAACUACUCGAAAGAGUGGCUAAUACCGCAUGAGAUCUACGGAUGAAAGCAGGGGAUCGCAAGACCUUGUGCUACUAGAGCGGCCGAUGGCAGAUUAGGUAGUUGGUGGGAUAAAAGCUUACCAAGCCAACGAUCUGUAGCUGGUCUGAGAGGACGAUCAGCCGCACUGGGACUGAGACACGGCCCAGACUCCUACGGGAGGCAGCAGUGGGGAAUUUUGGACAAUGGGCGAAAGCCUGAUCCAGCAAUGCCGCGUGCAGGAUGAAGGCCUUCGGGUUGUAAACUGCUUUUGUACGGAACGAAAAGCCCUGGGUUAAUACCCUGGGGUCAUGACGGUACCGUAAGAAUAAGCACCGGCUAACUACGUGCCAGCCGCCGCGGUAA
rnacentral:rRNA from 1 species